rnacentral:piRNA from 1 species
UAGGAACACAAAGAUGGAAUCUCCUUGG